rnacentral:lncRNA from 1 species
CCUGGUGGCACCACCCUUCAUCUUGCAGGUGUGAGAAUCACUGCUCUCUUGUUCUCAUAGAAGUUGGAAAGGAAACUCUGCCUUUCUGUCUCAGAGGCUGCCUGCGGCUUGCUGAUCUCUGCUUGGUGCGCACAGGACAACCAGCUUGUAUCCACGCCAGAUAGACACAGAGCUGGAAGAAGAUGGGGUGUGAUUGGAACUGCUCGGCAUUGGUUACAGGUAAGUGAGGAUCAAAUCCUGUCUACUUAUAGCCCUCUGUCCAGCUGGUGUGUCACCAAAUAAAAAUCAGCCAGAGGUAAGAG